AGCCCUCUCUCUUCUUCACGGGUUUUGGUCUUCUCUUCUCCAUGCACGAAGCCGUCUGCACAUCCACAAAACUGAGCCACCAAACCACACAGGCUCCUGUUCAUGAACAGGUCCUUUAUAGACCUUAAACGACCCAAUUAAAACCUAUUUAGGAGUCCUAAUCAGGCUCAAUCAAUCCCCGAACCGUUGGAUCAUGACCGGGAGCUACCCACGCCCUCCGAUUGCACGUCAGUCCACAGAAUAGUACCAUGGACCGUGCGAAAUGCGUGAGAAAUGUCCACACGGUCCACAGACCCUGCCGUGGACCAUCCAAUCCACUGUGGAUCCAG
rnacentral:lncRNA from 1 species